CUUAGCAACAGGGUUUGACAAGAGACCUGUAACACUUUGUCCAAGUGUCCAAGUCUUGUGAAUUCUAGCGUACAGACAUUUGGAAAAGAUUUUUUUCUUCCUCCAAACUCAAAAGUAUCCAAAGAAAGCUCUGGAGAAACUUCUUCAAGCAGUCACACGACUCCAAGGUCUUUGUGUAUUCAUUUUGCCUCUGCUGUCUCCUCUUUGCUGCUGUUAUUGUACAAACCCCUAAUACUCUACUGGCAGGAGCCUGCUUCCAGUUUCAAGAAGGUAAACUCUUCAAUCUCUCAUGCCUGAAGGCAAAAAAAGAAAAUCACUGAACAGCUUAUCCAAGAACUACUUUUUGCUGAGGCAGCUCCUGUUGUUGUCUGUUUCAAGAAGGAACUCAGGAAUUGGUAUUGUAAUCCAUUUAAUAUAACAAUGAACUUUAGUUUUCUUGUCAGCAGAAAAAAGAAAUAGAAAAGGCUUUUUUUGCUAAUCUCCAUCUGGAUUCAUUUCCUUUGCCAAAAAUUUUCUGUGAUCAAAAGGAAAGAGUUCUAUUAUAUCGUAACUUGCAAAGCAAAGUUUGUACAUGUUAGGUAAUACAUAAAAGGGCAUUGCAACUAACCUCUAAAUGAGUUACCUAUUCAAUAUGUUUGCUAAAUUUUUGACUGCAAAUGUAAAGUUCACAGUAUAGAGACAUAUAUGGCAAUUAUGACAAAUAGUUGCUCAUUUAAAGAGCUGAUGCCAUUUCAGAGUAUUUGCUGAGAAAGAUUCUCCACAACAACUCCCCUGCAGUCCAUGUCAAAGUUUAUUUUUGAUGGGGUGAGAAUUUUUAAGGAUUUCAGGCAACUCAGAGGGCCACUAAAUACUAGCCAAAAUCCUUAAUUAAUUGGAGAGUAUUCUACUGGCUGCAUGAAAGUUUUGUUGAAACAGAAACUAUAUAUUUUGUUGGUGUAAUCUGUAUUCUUUAUACUACAGUAUUUAAUUUUAGGGUAGUUAUAGAGCAGCAAAAGAGAUUCAAAUCGGAGUGCUCUGUGUCCACACUUGCACUGAGAACAGGGAAAAGCAAUUCAGCUAUGAAGGCCCAGAGACAUCUGGAAUUCAUCUGUGACAGUUCAUAUUUCUGAAAUUCUAAAGGAAAUUUUCACCUUGGGUGCUUUGCCUGGCAGAUCAAGCACACACAUCCCCCAAGAACUGAGUCAAUCAGAAAACAAAUGCGUGAGGAAAUUAUAAAUAUAGGCAUUAAGGAUCAUCUGGAGGACUCCAAAUCUGUCUUGAAGGUUGUGAAGUGUUUAUAAAAGGACUGAAAAGCUGCCACUCUCCUCAAGCUCUGCCAGCUCCAGGAGAAACGCACUGCACACUGUGGUUAUCCCUGGGAGACUGAGAAACCGCCUCUGAAAGGAGAUCAGAGGUGAGGCAGCUGAGGGAGCGUGGGGAAGUAAAGCAAUCUGAAAAAUGUCCAAACUUUGUACUUGAGCAGGUGCAGCAGCUCAACAGCAGGGAAGACUACAGAAGAGUAAUGUGUCUGUUUUGUUUGCAAGUUAAUACAAACGUUCAAAGUUCAA